GACGAACGCUGGCGGCGUGCUUAACACAUGCAAGUCGAACGGAAAGGCCCCCAUCGUUGUGCUCGUGAGGCGACCACGGGUGUGUGACACGCGCGACCUCCGCUCUCCUUCUCGCCAAAACCCUGAAACUCGGGCUACUACCCCCAAGAAGUGCCAUCUGCAUGGUGUGGGUUGGAAAGCUUCGGCGGUUUUGGAUGCGCUCGCGGCCUAUCAGCUUGUUGGUGGGGUAGUGGCUUACCAAGGCGUUGACGGGUAGCCGGCCUGUGAGGGGGACCGGCCACAUUGGGAAUGAGAAACGGCACAGACUCCUACGGGAGGCAGCAGUGGGGAAUAUUGCACAAUGGGCGCAAGCCUGAUGCAGGAACGCUGCGUGAGGGAUGACGGCCUUCGGGUUGGAAACCGGGUUCAGGAGGGACGAAGCAUUUUGUGACGGUACCUACAGAAGAAGCACCGGCUAACUACGUG
rnacentral:rRNA from 1 species